rnacentral:misc_RNA from 1 species
CUAAAACAUUGCUGCAAAAUAAUGUUGUGAUAAGAGACGCUGUUACACCCCCAACCGACCAAUAGUAGCCAAGAUAAUAUUUAAAUGUAUACAUGUGAAUAAUAUAUUCACAAAUAAAAUUAAAAUAAAAAUAAAAAGGAUUGACAUGCGGUUGUUUGAUAAUAUUUGGCUAAAAUGUUACUCAAGAGAGUGGAUCAGUCGUUGAAUAAGAAGCCGGUUGUACGCUGGCGGUGGUGGUGGUGGUGGUGGUGUUGGUGGUGGAAUUUUAAUUGUUAUUUAAUUAUUAAGUGGAAUGGAUACAAAAACACCAACUAUACCCUUGAAGUAUCAAGAGAAGAAACAACAAUCAAAAAAAAAAGAUAAAACAACUGGUGAUGUAUCAUUACCACCAUUGACAACACCACUACCAAAUGGUAUUAAAUAUAAAAAUAAAAAUCAAGGACAACGUCAUUGGAGUCGUGAUAUACCAUUUGUCAAUCAGGAUCCAAUAUCAAAACAUCCAUACAGAAUACUUCAUCUUGGAGCAACUCCAUUGAUGCAUGCUUGUCAACAAGCAGAUAGAUCAAGAGUAUUACGUUUAUUAAAAGAACAAGAAGAAACAAUUUGUUAUCGUGAUAGAACAUUGAGAAGUGCAUUACAUUAUUGUAUGGAUGCUGGUACAGCUGGUGCUGUUGCAUCAACAGCACCUGAACUUGUUAAUUCAUCAGAUAAUGAAGGGCAUACACCACUUCAUCUUGCUGUUAUUGCUGGUGAUACACAAUUAGUUGCUGUACUACUUGCAAAUGGUGCUGAUGUCAAUGCCAAGGAUCUUGAGGGACACAGUGUUCUUCAUUGGGCAACUGUUUGUGGUGAAGCUGAAUGUGUAAGACUAGUUCUUGCAUCUGGUGCAAGACCAUCAACACCAGAUUUACGUGGUGGUUCACCACUUCAUUAUGCUGCACAAUGUUGUGGUGCUGCUGUUACUGCUGAACUUUCAGUACCUAAAAAAAUUGGUUUAAAAGUAUUACAAACACUUUUAGAAUUUAAUGCUGAUGUUAAUGCUAAAGAUGAAGAUGGAAGACAGCCAAUAUUAUGGGCAGCAAGUGCAGGAAGUGUUGAGGCUGUACUUGCACUUGUAAGGGCUGGUGGAGCAGCAGCUGCUGGUGCAACUGAUAAAGAUGGUUUAACAGCUCUUCAUUGUGCUGCAUCACGUGGACAUGCAAGAUGUGUUGAAGCAUUAGUUAAUUUAUGUGGUUCACAGCCAGAUCAUGUUGAUGAUAAUGGCUGUUCAGCAUUACAUUAUGCUGCAACACUUGGACAUGCUGAUGCAACAGCAUUAUUAUUGAGACUUGGUGCUGAUCCAAAUAGACAAGAUCGAAAAGGCAGAACACCAGCACUUUGUGCUGCAGCAAAAGGACAAUUGGAAACAUUAAAAAUGCUUGCCCAACAUGGUGGUUCACUUAAUGCAAGAACAAUACGUGGUACUGGUGUUGCACAUGAAGCUGUAUUAUCUGGACGUAUUGAAUUACUUAAAUGGCUUGCACGUAAAAAACCAAGUACACUUGAUGUAUCAACAAAUGAUGGAAGAAUGCCACUUCAUGUUGCAGCAUUACAUGGUCAUUUAGAUGCUUGUAAAAUAUUACUUGAUAAUGAUGCUAGAAUAAAUGCAAUAUUUAAAACAAAUAAAGGUGGUACAAUGACACCAUUAGAUGCAGCACUUUAUCGUGGUCAUCGUGAUUGUGCUAAACUUAUACAAAUGCAUGGUGGUACAACUUCACAACAUCUUCGUAAUUGUCAAACAGCACCUAAUCGAGUUUUUGCAGCUAAAUUGAGAAUUAAAAAAAAUGCAAGUGAAUCAAGUACAACAAGUGAGUGUGAUUUCAAUCAUCAUCGUUGUCACAAUGCUGAUGUUUAUAUUGAAGAACAUUGGAUUGAAAAAAGAACAAGAAGAAGAAAUACAAAAAAAAAUAAAAAUAAUCGUAGUUAUAGUGAAGAAAAAAUAUGUCAUUUAAAAUCAUCAAAACGUGAACGUGAAAGACGAGCUAAAAGUGAAUCAGCAAGGUAUAAAAUUAAUUUAAAUAAUGAAAAACCAUGUAAAAAAAAAUAUUCAAGGCAUGAAUACAGUGAAUCAACAUCUUCAUUGUCAUCCUCAUCAUCAUCAUCAUCAGCGUCAUCUUCAAAUGAUUUGGAUGAUGAAAGCUCAGACAAUGAUGAUGAUGAUGAUGAUAAAGAAAAAAAAAAAAAACAUUCCAACAAAGAAAAACAUAGUAGUUUAAGUGAUGAUAGCCUUGAAGUUGUUGUUGUAAAAAAAUUAUUAGAAAAAAAAAUGGAAAAAGUAGAAUAUUCAGAUAGAAAAUCAAAAACACCAAGAGAAUUAUCACGUGAAACAAUAACAGAAUGUGAAAAAAAUAAAAAAAGUACAAAAAAAAAUGAUAAGUUAAAUAAAAAAAAAAAAAGAGAUAAUAGUGAUAAAAAAAAUUCAAAUAAUGAAAAAACAAAUGAUGAUAAUAUUGAUAAUAAAAAAGAAUUGAAAAAAAAAAAAUUAACAAAAGAUACAACUGAUAGUACGAGUCAAGAAGCUGGUGAAAGAGUAACAGUUACAGCAAUGAUUCAUAAAGAUCAAUCACCAGAUAGACCAAUUGAAAAUACAGCAGCUGAUAAUGUUGAUCAACAAUUAACAAAAUCUGAGAUGGAUGAUAUUCUUGAAAAAGCUGAUAAUAUGCAAAAUUCAUUGAUGAAUAAAGCUGCAGAUUUACGAAAAGAUGUUAAAGAUAUUCGUAGUCAAAGAACAAAAGAAAUUCAUGCAGAUGAUGAUAAAAAUAUUGAUGAUAAAUCAUUGUCAAGUAGUAAAACAGAAGAUUCAAGUAGUCUUGAUGAUGUUACGACUGAAAAUAGCACUGAAUCAUCUCAAUCAAAUGAUUCACAAUUAAAAAAAAAUCAAAAUCAAAAUGACGAUAGAACUUUAGAGCAUCAAGAUGAUGAAAAAAUAGAAGAAAUAAUUAGAGAAGAAACUCCAAUGCCUUUGGAAGAUAAUAAAAAAUCAAUUGAAACAUCAAAAACCACGUCAACUUCAAAUUCUACUCCUGAUAAAUUGACAAAUGAAAAUUCUUCAAAGCAUAGUAAAUCAAGUUCUAGUGAAAAAGAAAAUUCUCAAAUUAAAAAUGACAGUACAUCAGAAAGUGAAACAUUAAUAUCUAAAAAUGAAAAUCUAGAAAAUAUCGUAGAUGAUAAUUUAGAAAAAAAAUUAGAAUCUACUGAGAGUUUGAAAAAUGAUGAAAUAAAAAAUGAAACUUCAAGUGAAUUAGAAAAAAUAGAUAAAGAAAAAAAUUUUGAUGAUAAACCAUUGGAUGUUAAUCACAAUGAAAAUUCAAGCUCAGAAAAAUCAUCAAAAAAUUCACAUAGUUCAAGGCCAUCAACUGGUAAAACACCAAGAAAACAUGAUGAAGAAAAAAAGCCAAAAAAAUCAACAUCAAAAAGUAGUUUAUUUGAUGAAAAUUGUGAAAAUGAACAGUCAUCAAAUCAGAGUGCUAUUAUUGCUGUUAUUCAAAGUCCAGAAUGGGAUGACGAAGAUGAACAAGUUGCCAAAGAAAUAAGUGAUGUUGUUGGUGAUAAUGCUGAGCCUGAUACUGAUCCUGAUGAUGAUGAAGAUGAUAGUCUUGGAGUUGUCAGAGUGCUACCAUCUACCAGUGAUGAAGGUAGUCCAAGUACUCCACCAAAAUCAACAAAAAAUCAAACACCAGCUCAGGCUGAUAGACGAUUGAUUGGAAGUCCAGUUACUUUUAGACCACGUAGAAAACAAAGAAAAGACAGUACUGGUGGUGGUGGUGGUGGUGGACGUGAUAGUGGUAUUGAACCAAGUCCACGUGUAUCAAAAAUUCCAAAAAGAAAUAUAAAAUGUUAUCCAAAUACUAAAAAACAACAAGCAUUAAAUAUGGAAACAAUAACUCGUGAUGUAUCAAUUAAUUUACGUCGUUAUCAUCUUGAAAGAAAAAUAUUUUUUCAAUUAAUGGAAUUAAAACGUUUACAAAUACGUCAUGGUCAAACAAAUGAAAAUGUUCUUGUCAAAAGACAAGUUGAAGCAUUUCACAAAGCUGGAAUGGCUGGACCAGCUCUUGGUGUUGCACGAUAUGAUCAACCUCUAACAUUCAAAAAUUUCGAAGGAUUUCUUUAUGAACAAUUACGUCGUCUUCAAAGACGACCACCAUCACCAGAUUGGUGUACAGAUGCUAAACAAUGCACACUUAAAACACAUCGUUGUCAUCAUGCCACAAGUGCAUACACAUCAGUACCAAUUUAUACAUAUCGUUCAUGGUAGAUUUAAUUGCAGUAGGUGGAGGAGAUCAUGAACGAGGUGAAGGUACAUUUUUUCCAAAAAUUGAAACUCGAGCAAGGGGUCAAAUGACGGUUGAAUUUACAAAAGGUGAUGAAAAACAAAUAAUA